UACAGAGGUCUCAAGCGUUGUUCGGAUUCAUUGGGCGUAAAGGGUGCGUAGGCGGCGCGGUAAGUCGGGUGUGAAAUUUCGAGGCUUAACUUCGAAACUGCAUUCGAUACUGCCGUGCUUGAGGACUGGAGAGGAGACUGGAAUUUACGGUGUAGCAGUGAAAUGCGUAGAUAUCGUAAGGAAGACCAGUGGCGAAGGCGAGUCUCUGGACAGUUACUGACGCUGAGGCACGAAGGCCAGGGGAGCAAACGGG
rnacentral:rRNA from 1 species